rnacentral:sRNA from 1 species
GGGAGAAACGAUUUACAGAGAUGCAAAACUUGAUGAGUGGCGAGGGGAGUGAAUUAUUCCGGUUAAAGUCUUGAAGAGAGCAUGGCUUAUUGGCACUGCUUGCUAUAAUGCUAGUGUUGCUAGCCUAGGUGGCUGGCUGCUUCGCCUACAGAUUUCAGUAUGGCAACUCUGGAAUUGUAAAGAUAGGAUUAUCUUUACACCACUCUCUUUUGUCACCCUUGAGCACUGCAGACAAGCUGAGCAUCUUGUUAAGCUGAGGUAUGAAAAAGGAAAGCAGUUGAGUUGGCAUCCUAUUGAAAUGGAUUCGAUCAUUUGAGAGAAAACGUGCUUUUCACAGUUCAAUUCAGAAUGAAACGGUAGAAAGCAUGUGAAGGAACUGAGAGGUUAUAGCAUUCUUCUCGCCAUUGUGGAUUUCAUGAGCAAUUGAUAGAAUAUUCAAAGUUGCAUCUGGACUCGGAGGCGAUCAUUUGAUUCGUUAACCGCUCUAGAGGAAAAUGCCGUGGAGAAAUAGACGAUGAUACGCCUUAACCCAAGUUUGAUGGGGAAAGUUGGAGCAGCGGGCACUCAAAUUUACAAGCCUUCUUGCCACACACUUUGUUGCUGCCUGUGCCCUCGCGGGGGCUCAUUUUUCUCUAUCACAUACGUUUUAGGCCGGAACACUAGUCUGAUACUGUGGAACAACUUGUGGUGGAUAUUUAUGUUUCUCCUGCAUGUGAAGAGGCAGGUGCACUGGAGAUAUGUUUCUCUCUACUAACACAACAGUUGAAGAGUGCCUCAUGGCUGUGCUUGCUUGAAGGCCAGUACGUACAUUACGUUACUAGAUUGCAUUUAUAUUGAGGAGGAUUUCACCGGUGGAACAUUGCAGAACAGCUGUAAAUUCCAGCAAACAGUGUAAACCUGUAAAGAUAGGAUUAUCAAAUGGUGCUUUGGUUUUCUGGACUGUCAAGUUUGAAAUCUUUGAACAGAAAUGGACUUUCAAUACCUCCCACUCUUGCAAUUCUUGCCCGGACAGGGACCUGCAGACCUCAGCUCUCGUCAACAGCUAUACAAAUAUUGAAUGACAGUAUUGUCAAAUAUAAUAGGAACCGGUCUUCAACACCUCCCACUCUCGCAAAUCCUGCAGGGACAAGGACCUCAGCUAUAUAAAGGUUGAUUGUAUGUGGGACUUCGUCGGUCCAGAGAGAAAACUAUUGAACUGUAAAGAUAGGAUUAUCAAAGGGAAAACAAUGUUAGCUUAUAUCAACUACUCAGCUGCAUAUACAUAUGUUUCCUUGCAAACACAAUGGUUGGAGAGAGCAUGGCUUAUUGGCAGCGCUUGCCAGAAUGCCAGUGUUACUAGACAUGGUGGCUGGCUGCUGCACCUACAGAUGUCAGUAUGGCAACUCUGGAAUUGUAAAGAUAGGAUUAUCUACAGCCAACGAUUUGAACAUGCAUCGAUUAGUUGUCCUUGAAUGGUGCAUGCAUAUAAUUCUCCUUUAAUCGGAGAGGUUACCCCUGGAGUGAUGUUUUUUCUAAUGCUUUUAUAGUUUGAAUAUGAGAGGCAUGGCUUUUCAUCUUCUCUUGAUGUCACUCUCAUCUUUGAAUGGGUGCCAAUAUGAUUUUGUACAGAGAUAGUGGUUGAACAGCGCGCUUGAUCAUUGUAGCACCGUCGUCACGCUUGCAUUUGUUGGUAUUCCAGUAAAUGAUAUUACUAGAAUAAGUGGUUGGCUGGUGUGCUACGGAUUUCACAAGAAUGAUAAUUCUAACGUUGAGCACUGCAGACGAGCUGAGUACCUUGUUAAGCUGAGGUAUGAAGGUCAAGCAGUUGAGUUGCAUCCUAUUGAAAUGGAUUGGAGAGAAAACAUGCUUUUCACAGUUCGAUUUAGAAUGAAACGGUAGAAGCGUGUGAAGCUUUUCUCCUGGAAGUGAUCCAAAGGAACUGAGAUGUUACAGCAUUCUUCUCACCAUUGUGGAUUUCAUGAGCAAUCAAGAGAGUAUUCAAAGUUGCAUCUGGACUCAGAGAUUGGCUCACUAUAUAUGCAGGCGAUCGUUUGAUUCGUUAACCAAUGUAGAGGAAGUCUGGAAGAUGCCGUGGAGAAAUAGUGGAUGAUACGCCUUAACCCAAGUUUGAUGGGGAAAGUUGGAGCAGCGGGCUCUCAAUUUAGAAACGUUCUUGCCAAAUGCACACUUUGUUGCUGCCUGUGCAGCCAAGUUCGCGCGUGGGAGUUCAUUUUCCUCUACCAUGUACUUUGAGGCCAGAGCACUACAUCGUUGGCUGCCCAUGGUGGCUGAUUUGGAAGCUGCUGCUGUGGAAGUGGGGAGUAAUUCCACUGUGUCUAUGGCAGGGUAGUAGCAAAAGGAGGAGGAUUAUUCUGCGUUUGCCGUUUGGUACAAUAUUAUGCGAGACGAGAGGCCAAAAAGGUUGCAGAGACUUGCACGAUUUGGAAAGUUGCUGUAUUUUGAAGACUCCCCCGAACAUUAUUUUGGAUGUUUUAAUUAACAGAAGCUAGAUAGUCAUAACCUGUAAUUUGUUGGUGCCUUUUUUCCUUCAACUGGGAUGAAAUUCCCGAUAAAAUUUUGAUGAGGUUAUGGUAUUCUUUAACCCAAUAGGAUCCCUCCAGAUCCUUUUGAUGAGGAUCAUAGGAAUUCGUGAAUCGUACUCAUUCAUCGUAUAUCGUGUGAUUAUUGGUACAAGAUCAAUGCAUCAAUAUGUAAGAUUUAAUCAUUAUAUGUGCCAACAGUUA